CCCGACACUGCCACUGCCACUGCCACCGUCCUGGUGGGAACAUUUUCUGCCCAGCUGUGGGCUGGAGGUCCCGAAGGGUUGUUAAGAAGUGAAAGGAAACCGCUCCGCACAGUACCAAGCACGGAGUAUCCGAAAUAACCAGCAGAUUUUGCUCUUACUGCUCCGGGAGCGGGAUUGAGUCGUGGUUCGGUAGAGUCUCGACUUUAUUCUCAAGAACUGGGAAAGGUGGGCGUCUGGGCCGCGAGCCGGAAUUGGCCGGGAUCGACACCGCCCUCCACCCAGAACCCGGACGGGGGCGCGACGCAGAGGCGAGGAGGUGAAAACGUCCAGGCUCCAGAGCUAAGGCGGUGGCUUUGCCUUCAGUCGUCCACCUGUAUCUCCUCGUCUGACAGGUGGGGCCCGGAGUCGGGCCACGCGGGGCCCGGAGGGAGGCCGAGGCCGGGGGCGCCGUCCUGCAGCGCCAGGCGGCCCCGCGCUCCGGGUCCCAGCGCGCGCAGCGAGGCCACGUCCGCGCGCAGCUCCUCCACGUCGCGCUUGAACUUGGCGCGCCGGUUCUGGAACCACGUGACCACCUGCGCGUUGGCCAGGCCCAGCCUCGCCGCCAGCCCGUCGCGCUCGGACGGCGCCAGGUACUUCUGGAAGACGAAGCACCGCUCCAGCUCCAGCACCUGCUGCGCGGUGAAGGCCGUGCGUGACUUUCGCCGUCUGCGGCCUGCCGGGCCGAGGCCCGGAGCACGCGGGGCCGCUCCGCCUGCGGGGAUAGGGCGGGGGUCCGUCAGUCUCCAGCCUGCGGAAAUCGGGCUUCGGCCGGGAGGAAAAGCUGGGGAUGCCGUCAGGCCGGGUGGGGGUGAGGGGACCGGAACUAGACCGUGGUCCCGUGGCGAACUGCGGGAGGGUCAGGCCGAAGAAGGGUGCGGGGACACAAAGUGGAACCAGCCACUGGGGUAGGGGAGGUGGCCCGAGGGGAGGAGGAGGAGGGCGCAGGGUCCGGCCGCCUGCGGCGGGGACUUCCAAGCCCGCGGGAGCCGCAGACUGAGCCGGCUUCGCAGGCUGCUGCAAAGCAGGGGCAGCUGACCCGCUCGGCGAGUGUAACGGGAUCCAAAUCGGGCCCUUCGUUAGACUCGUGGGUCUGUCGGGCCCUCUCAGCCUACUCUGGUUCAGUGACUCGCUCCCACCGUCCUCAAGCAUAAAAGGUAGGUAGUGGGAGUACAAAGGGCGAGAAAAGGCAAAGUCCGGAGUCCUGGGGCCCUUGCCACACCAAGGCCCUUCGAGGCGGCCCCUCGAGAAGAGAGGAGGUUUGAAGCGGAGGAGCGUGUUCACCGGGAGAAGUCCGAGCCUCGCCUCCCAUUGCUUUCUGCUCUGCUCUUGCCCUAACUCACUUGUUUACAGCCUCGGCUCAGGCCUUUUGUCUCCUUCUCUCCGGCCUUUCUCUGUCGCGAUUGCCCCGCCUACAGCGAAAGGACCCAAGGGUCGCUCAGUUCUUAACAGCCCCGUCCUGCCCCUCAGCCUCCAGGAGCAGCCGCCGAGCCUGGAACUGACGGACGCGGAGGAAGGACCUCAGUCUCCUGACCUGGACCCUUCGUCCCCUCCCCACCUCUGCUGAAAACUCUUAAAGAGGUCCUGGCGGCUGGAAGUUAUUAGUGCGGUGCGCAGGGCUGGGGGAACUCAAGAGUUGGAAGGACUUGGCUGGGCUGAGCGACUGCAACGGGGAAUCGCGGGGACGCGAUGCGCAAGCACGCGCAGGUGAGUGGACUGCGGCCGGCUCUGCGGCCGGACCCAAGGUUGUCCCAGCACGGCUCAGAGACCCCCGAGAAAGUCAAACCAUCUGAAGAAGCGCCGGAGACCUGGUCCUCGGGAGAGAGGACCCAGGAGGAGUCUUUGCCAGUAAAGACUGGCCUCCACAGAGGGCCUUCUGGUUACACAUCAGUCUGUUAGGGUAUAUCUUUGUCUCCUUAUUAAGCGCCUGUCGUCCAAGUAGGAGUUUUCUAGCCCGGGGAGGCCCAGAAACCGCCCAGCAGGAGCGGUGGUGCGAGGGCCAGUGCCCUAUAGAUGAGUGACUUGAAGGGCAGACUUCAUACCCCCAACCCGAUUCCAGGACAGAAAUCCCUGCCAAGCCAAAUUCUAAGGCCUGGGAUAUUCAUUCCCAUUUUAUCCGCAUCCGUGUGUCAUUCUCUCUUCUCUCCCACAGCUAAUCUAGUCUGGGGCUCACGCCAGGGCGAGCACCUCCACAGCCCUGGUUUACAGGGACAGCGCAGUUCCGGGACAGUGCCGCUCCUCUAGCGGGGGCUCAACGAGGCAAACCCGGGCAGCGAGCGGAGUCUCCGCCCAGAGCCAGAGCAGCCUGCUCUCCCGGGAACUCACACUCGGAACUCGCUGCUAUGGGUUUCUUCUAGUUUUUUCAAACAGUGCCAUAAAGAAGCUGGCUGGUCACCCCUGGACUGUCCAUUCUGUCACCUAGUCUCUGUAAACCUCUGUAGUGAUCUUCUAGGUCCACCUGUCUAGCCCCUGAAACAAGUAGAGCCUGUAGUUGGGAUGUCCCCAACAGAGCUUGGGAGAUCUGAGGCACCUGGGCCAAAGAUUCCAUGACAGAGACAGGAAGACACUUUGAUCAUGGUGGUUAGGGAACUGCAGGUUGAGGCACUUACCUACCCCACCCAACAGAGGUGCACAAACACAGGGUCUUAGUGAGAGCUCCCUCCACCGACCAUCCCAUCCCCCAUAUACACACAGACACUCGCCAAGUGCAGGUCUGAGCAACUCAGCCCAGUGGGUCAGAGAGCACAGUCAGGCCACAGCAGAAAGCCGAGAUGCCUCAGGACCUUGUUAAUUGUUUAUCAAUCGUUGGGGGCAGAGGAGGGCCAGAAGAGACCCUCCUAGCUGAAGGCCUUAGCCCUUUGAACCAUCCCGGUGGUUUCACUUAAUCUGAAAUUAAAGAGGGUCCCAGGAGGCUGCAGGAACUGGCUAGCUCAGGUCCCAGACAUGUCACUAGAAACUACAGCUUCCACUCCUGCGCCCUCUAUGCGGCCUUUGUCAUCCCUUCUGCUCUCGAUUGCCAGUGUGUGUCUGUGGGGCGUGUGGGGCUUUCCUGAGGGCCUUUGCUGUCUCUCCUGCCCGUCCACCUUUGCCCUGCAAGUGGGCUCGGGUAAUGGGGCUGGACAGUGGGGUUCGGCAAUCCCCACAUGAGUUUGGGGAAGGAGGGGGCAGGAGAGACGAGUGAUGGGAGGAGGCUGCCGACAGCAGAGCCCAACUGAUGUCUUCCCAGCGGCCAGCGACGUGUCCAGAUGAUUGUGGGGCCACAGGAGGGGACUUUUCCCAGCGAAGCAUCUGGAAUCUGAGCUGGGGAGAAACUGGAUCCUGGGAGUGGGUCGGACGGAGGAGGACAGAGGGGAAGAGAGGAGAGAAAGAGAGGAAGAGAAACGUCAGUUGGUUGCUUCUCCCACGCCCCCUGUUCGCAUCCUCCCUGCCUGAGGAUAGUGGAUUGACCCCACAACCUCGACCUGGGCCCAGACCGAGACCUCUUGCCUUUGGGUACAAGGCCCAACCAACCGAGCCACGUGAGUCAGGGCUCAGCUCCCUUUUAAUGAUGCUGUCUCACGCCUGCCCUCAUCGCCCCUUUGAUUUCCCUCUCCUCAUCACCCCCACCUUGUCACUCAUUCCCCAACACCACACCUCUCACCCACUCUGCCCUUCUCAGUCUCCCAUCUGGCAAGUUCCUCUACCCAGGCCCACUCCAGAUAGACCCCUCUUCUUUGGUACGGAGGUCUAUUCAAUAAACCGCCUUUAGUCUCUGGG